GACGAACGCUGGCGGCGUGCUUAACACAUGCAAGUCGAACGGAAAGGCCCUGCUUUUGUGGGGUGCUCGAGUGGCGAACGGGUGAGUAACACGUGAGUAACCUGCCCUUGACUUUGGGAUAACUUCAGGAAACUGGGGCUAAUACCGGAUAGGAGCUCCUGCUGCAUGGUGGGGGUUGGAAAGUUUCGGCGGUUGGGGAUGGACUCGCGGCUUAUCAGCUUGUUGGUGGGGUAGUGGCUUACCAAGGCUUUGACGAGUAGCCGGCCUGAGAGGGUGACCGGCCACAUUGGGACUGAGAUACGGCCCAGACUCCUACGGGAGGCGGCAGUGGGGAAUAUUGCACAAUGGGCGGAAGCCUGAUGCAGCAACGCCGCGUGCGGGAUGACGGCCUUCGGGUUGUAAACCGCUUUCGCCUGUGACGAAGCGUGAGUGACGGUAAUGGGUAAAGAAGCACCGGCUAACUACGUG
rnacentral:rRNA from 1 species